AGUGCAAUUGCUGGGUCACAGGGUAGCUCUAUUUUCAACUUUUUGAGGAACAUCCAUACUAUUUUCCAGAGUGGCUGCACCAGCUUGCAUUCCCACCAGCAGU
rnacentral:pre_miRNA from 1 species